rnacentral:misc_RNA from 1 species
UACGUAGGUCGCAAGCGUUGUCCGGAAUUAUUGGGCGUAAAGCGCGCGCAGGCGAUCGUUUAAGUCUGAUGUGAAAGCACACGGUUCAACCGUGGAGGCUCAUUGGAAACUGGAGGACUUGAGUGCAGAAGAGGAAAGUGGAAUUCCAUGUGUAGCGGUGAAAUGCGUAGAGAUGUGGAGGAACACCAGUGGCGAAGGCGACUUUCUGGUCUGUAACUGACGCUGAGGCGCGAAAGCGUGGGGAGCAAACAGG